rnacentral:lncRNA from 1 species
AGGUAUAUGAUUUUUCAACUUCCCGUUCUGCCGAGGCUGCUGUACAUGGGAGCCCUGGGCCUCAAGCAUCAUCACAAGCCUCUUGGGAGUGUGUUGCCUGCUGCUGAGGAAAAAGAGUCGCUCAAGGCAAGAAGACCCAGAGCCAGCAAGACUGAAACAAAAAGCAAAGGAGAUCACUUCUGAAAUUCUCAAAUCUCAUCUUUCAUCUGCCUGAGCAUAGGACCUGGCAGCAUCUAGCGGCGUGAUCCAGAGCCUGGUGGAGAGCUGGGAAGCUUGCAGCUCCUCUAAUUCUUACUGCUAUAAACCAAAGUUGGUUUUAUAGCUCAGUUUGAGAAUCGAUUCUCCAAAGAGCAAAGAAAAGGAAGAACGGGCUUUUCUGCUGGGGCCGCCCCCUUUGAGAAGCUGCUGCUCGUCAGCUGGGUCCCUGCUGCCCUGCAGGAAGCCAGGUGGCUGUGGCCUUGGCGUCCCUGGGCCCUGGUCGCCGCCGCCGCCAGCUCUGUCCGCACUGCUCCUCCUGCAAGCGGCAGGCCCGGGAAGGAAGAGUUAACCAGAAAUGGAGCGGCGCUGCUCCGGGGCAGGCAGCCUCGCCGCAGAACAGAGCAGCGUUCGUGCAAAGAGCCCUGGCCCUGCAUGAUCCCUGUGCCAUCGAGCAGACAGCAUCUCCCUGAGGUGAUUGGAUCAACUGCUUCGUGUCAGUGUCACCCAUGCUUGCUUCGGAGUUUCAAGGCCUUGAUCCUGGGAAAGGGAGUCGAGAAGGUAAUGAGGAGUCAAACCGCUCAUACCUGGACUCUGGGCCCAUCCCAUGCUACCUUGUGCAUCUCCUUUGCCAAGAUGCCCCUCUGCUGCCUGCCCAGGACACAAGUGGGUUACAGACUGACUUCAAGUGAGCUUGAGGAGUUUCCAGGUGGCACAUCGGAUUAAGGAUCCAUAGUUGCUACUGCUAUGGCACGGUUUGAUCACUGGCCCCAGGAUGUCCACGUGUCCAGGCAAAAGAAGCCCAUGAUUCUUCAAGGCCAAAAAAAAAGAGCCCGAAUAUCUUUUCACAUGUUUAUGGACUAUCUUGUUUUUUUUCACCUAUGAUUUGCCUGAUGGUAUCCUGACAUUUUUCUGUUAGAUUACUUAUAUUUUCUUACUGAUUUGUAACAGUUUGUGAAAUGUUCUGGCUAUGACUUUUUUUCAGUUAUUUGGGUUGUAAUCUCCUCUCCAGUCUAUGGACUGUUUUUUUUUUGUUUGGUUGGUUGGUUGGUUUUGUUUUUUGUCUUUUUAGAGCCGCACAUGGGGCAUAUGGAGGUUCCCAGGUUAGGGGUAGAAUCAGAGCUAUUUGCUACAGCAAAGCCAUAUCUGAGCCAGAUCUGCAACCUACACCACAGCUCAUGGCAAUGACAGAUCCUCACCUACUGAGUGAGGCUGGGGAUUGAACCUGCGUCCUCAUGGAUGCUAGUCAGAUUCAUUUCCACUGAGCCACACUGGGACUCCUGUGUGGUUUUUUUGUUUUGUUUUGUUUUUUUAGCAUUGCUGGUGGUGUCUUUUGAUGCACAGAAUUUUUGAAUUUUAAUGUAGUAGAAGUCUUCUUUUGUGGCUUGUAAUUUUUCUUUUUUCAAAAAUCCUUCUCUAAUCUCUAUGACAUAAAAAUAUUUUCCCCAUGUUUUUCUUCAAAUUGGUUGAAGCAUAAGGUACACACAGUAAAAUGCACCCAUUUGAAGUGCAGAAUCUGAUGCAUGUUGAGAAAUGUAUACAAUCAUGUAACCAUGACCCCAAAGAAGAUAAAGAAUGUUCCCUCACACUUGCCCAGACCAGCUGCCUUCCCACCCAGCCCCUGGCCCCAGGCAAUGACUGAUCUGCUUUUUGCCCCUACAAAUCAGCUUUACCUUUUCCAAAUUUUAAAUAAAUAAAAUACAUGGCAUUUUGACUUGUGGCUUUUGCCCGGCAUAAUGCUUUUGAGGUUCAUCCAUGCCGUCACAGGUCAUGGAGUGCUUCCUCUUUAUUGCUGCAUAGUAUUCCAUUGUAUGGAUAUAACACAAUUUGUUUUUCCAGUGAGUCUGUUAAAUGUUUGAGUCAUUUCCAGUUUAUUAUGAAUAAAGCUGCUAUGAAUAUUUGUG